GAAUCUUUAGCUCAGUUGGUUUAGAGCACUACCUUGACAGGGUAGGGGUCGGCGGUUCGAGUCCGCCAAGGUUCACCA
rnacentral:tRNA from 2 species